rnacentral:rRNA from 1 species
GACGAACGCUGGCGGCGUGCUUAACACAUGCAAGUCGAACGGAAAGGCCCCUUUGGGGGUCCUCGAGUGGCGAACGGGUGAGUAACACGUGAGUAACCUUCCCUUUACUUCGGGAUAACUUCAGGAAACUGGGGCUACUACCGGAUAGGAAUCCUUGCUGCAUGGUGGGGGUUGGAAAGCUUCGGCGGUUUUGGAUGGACUCGCGGCUUAUCAGCUUGUUGGUGGGGUAGUGGCUUACCAAGGCUUUGACGGGUAGCCGGCCUGCGAGGGCGACCGGCCACAUUGGGACUGAGAUACGGCCCAGACUCCUACGGGAGGCAGCAGUGGGGAAUAUUGCACAAUGGGCGGAAGCCUGAUGCAGCAACGCCGCGUGCGGGAUGACGGCCUUCGGGUUGUAGACCGCUUUCAGCAGGGGCGAAGCUUGUGGUGACGGUACCUGAAGAAGAAGCACCGGCUAACUACGUG